UAACUGACAACAUACAGAGAAUGUUUACAUAUUUUAAAAACGGUUGCGGCCCCAUUUAAUUGAGUAUUGUCUAAUCCUUUAAAGAAGACCAAUUGGAGGGCAAGUCUGGUGCCAGCAACUACGGAAAUUCCAGUUCCAGCACAGCAUAUUAAAGUUGUUGAGGUUAAAAAGCUUGUAGUUUGAUCUCAGUUCUAGCCGAGUGGUCCACCUACCGGUGGUCACUGCCUCUUCUGAGCAGCCAGCCGGUUUCCUUUGAUGAUUUUCAUCGGUUGUCUUUUUGAUUCGAUAGCCUUUUCCUGAACUAGCCUGCAUCGUAAUUUCCAUGAAACAAAAGCUUUUCAUAAAAUUUUGAGGAAUAUUUUGAAAAAGUACGUAUGAACGACCUGUGUCAGUCUUAAAUUUUUCAAGGAAUGCAGUAGUACGUUUUGAAGAAUGACUUGUUGAUUUGCCUUGAUGAAAUUUCCCUACUUGAAAGUCAUUGGAAUAAAAAAAUGGAAUUCUGGUUGAACUUAC
rnacentral:ncRNA from 1 species